rnacentral:rRNA from 1 species
GAUGAACGCUGGCGGCGUGCUUAACACAUGCAAGUCGAACGAUGAAGCCCAGCUUGCUGGGUGGAUUAGUGGCGAACGGGUGAGUAACACGUGAGUAACCUGCCCUCUACACUGGGAUAAGCCUGGGAAACUGGGUCUAAUACCGGAUAGGAGCGCCUACCGCAUGGUGGGUGUUGGAAAGAUUUAUCGGUUUUGGAUGGACUCGCGGCCUAUCAGCUUGUUGGUGGGGUAUUGGCUCACCAAGGCGACGACGGGUAGCCGGCCUGAGAGGGUGACCGGCCACACUGGGACUGAGACACGGCCCAGAAUCCUACGGGAGGCAGCAGUGGGGAAUAUUGCACAAUGGGCGAAAGCCUGAUGCAGCGACGCCGCGUGAGGGAUGACGGCCUUCGGGUUGUAAACCUCUUUCAGUAGGGAAGAAGCGAAAGUGACGGUACCUGCAGAAGAAGCACCGGCUAACUACGUG